UUAAUCAAUCAAGUGCGUCGCAGUUUUAUUAAUCUGCGACGCAAAUGACUCUGAGAACAUCUUAGAGUCAUUUGCCUCGCAGUUUAAUAAAGCUGCGACGCACAGGUGUUUGUGAAUUUAAUUUUUUCUCAAAUUCGCGCUCACCUUUUAAUUGUUUUCUUCAAUAUUCUGACUUGCUCCAAAUGACCUAAAUCUAUCGAAACCAGUUAAGCCCAAAACAUCCGUUCUCACCGGCUUCACCCUUCCGUUUACCAGCUUCACUGCCGUCGUCUUCCCUCCUUCUGCGUCGUUCUCUCCUUCCCCUGCGCCGUUCAACUUGUUGUUCGUUCUCCUCUUCAACCUGCUGCUCGUUCUCUUCUUCCCCUGCGUCGUUCAACUCAAACUAAUCAGUGUCGCUGCUCCGUGUUAACGCCGCCUUCCACGGCAGCCGCCCACGCCGCCGCCCACUCCUCCGCUCCUGGUCACUGUCUUCUCUCCUCUCCUAGGUAAAGAGCUUCACUAUUAUUUUCUGUUAUGUUAAAUACUAGAUGUUGUUAAGGUCCCGUAAGGAUUUUCAUGUGGUUGCCACAGAAGCUGUUUGGUAAUAUGUGCUUGAAUAUUACGUAUACUACCUCCGUAGAUGCUGAAGAUAACAUACAAGAGUUGUUUGUGUUAGGUGUAGAAGCAAUCCCGGAUUGACAGAGGUUUCCUCUAGUUCUGUUGGCUUCUCCUUUUUGUGUUCUUGUUUUAUUUAUUUUCUUCAAAUUUUGUGAAGACUUAACAAAAGAUAGUUGUCGAACACUUGCAUAUCAUUGCAUUGAACAUGAUCGAACACUGUAAUUUUCAAUUGUUGUUGGUAAUUAGAUCACGAAACUGGUGAUUUGGCAA